rnacentral:tRNA from 1 species
AUUUAUAGAGUUUAUAAAAACACUUCAUUUUCACUGAAGAGAUAAGCUCGUGCUUUAUAAAUA